rnacentral:rRNA from 1 species
AGCAGGCGCGCAAAUUACCCAAUCCCGACACGGGGAGGUAGUGACAAUAAAUAACAAUACGGGGCUCUUUCGGGUCUCGUAAUUGGAAUGAGUACAAUUUAAAUCCCUUAACGAGGAACAAUUGGAGGGCAAGUCUGGUGCCAGCAGCCGCGGUAAUUCCAGCUCCAAUAGCGUAUAUUAAAGUUGUUGCAGUUAAAAAGCUCGUAGUUGAAUUUCGGGAUUGACACAUCGGUCGUGCCUUAAGGGGUAUGAACUGGUGUAGUCAAUUUCUCACCUUCUGGAGAACCGCAAUGCCCUUAAUUGGGUGUCGCGGGGAACCAGGACCUUUACUUUGAAAAAAUUAGAGUGUUUAAAGCAGGCAUUUUGCUUGAAUACAUUAGCAUGGAAUAAUAAAAUAGGACGGCAUGAUUCUAUUUUGUUGGUUUCUAGGAUCACCGUAAUGAUUAAUAGGGAUAGUUGGGGGCAUUAGUAUUCAAUUGUCAGAGGUGAAAUUCUUGGAUUUAUUGAAGACUAACUACUGCGAAAGCAUUUGCCAAGGAUGUUUUCAUUAAUCAAGAACGAAAGUUAGGGGAUCGAAGACGAUCAGAUACCGUCGUAGUCUUAACCAUAAACUAUGCCGACUAGGAAUCAGACGAUGUUAAUUUUUUAAUGACUCGUUUGGCACCUUACGGGAAACCA